CACAGUCGUUUUCCCUAACUGGUACACUAGAGCUCUGCUAGGGUUUGUCCUUGUCUCGAACCAGUCCGUCCCAAGAGCUCAACUAGUGAUUUCUACUCCACUUUUGCAAGUCCGUCUUUCAAGUUGCUGUGCUCCGAGGUCCCGUGUCGAAGUUCUGUUAACCCUUUUCCAGAUGGGCGAGGUUCUCGUGGUCAACAAGGGAAUGACGAUUCCGCUACCUAGUCAUCUGGGUUGUAUCUUAUACUUCUUUCCGUCAUGUUUUCUUUAGGGCCAUGACCCCUGUAUUCGUGGUUAUUAGUUUGUAAACUUUUAGUUAAACAAUUAUUCUGUUUUUGUUGGCAUCGUGGUGUGCCUAGUUUUGUAGGG